AGAGUUUGAUCCUGGCUCAGAACGAACGCUGGCGGCGUGCUUAACACAUGCAAGUCGAGUGCGCGUACCGUAGCAAUACGGUAUGGCGCACGGCGCACGGGUGCGUAACACGUGGGCAAUCUGCCCUUCGAUGGGGAAUAUCUUCGGGAAACCGAAGCGAAUUCCGCAUAACAUUCCUUGGACUUCGGUUCGAGGACUCAAAGCCGUAAGGCGUCGAAGGAGGAGCCCGCGCACGAUUAGCUAGUUGGUAGGGUAACGGCCUACCAAGGCUUUGAUCGUUAGCUGGUCUGAGAGGAUGGCCAGCCACACUGGAACUGAGACACGGUCCAGACUCCUACGGGAGGCAGCAGUGGGGAAUCUUGCACAAUGGGCGAAAGCCUGAUGCAGCGACGCCGCGUGGGGGGAUGAAGCAUCUAGGUGUGUAAACCCCUUUCGACCCGGAAGAAUGCCUCGCAAGAGGACUGACGGUACGGGUAUAAGAAGCCCCGGCUAACUACGUGCCAGCAGCCGCGGUAAGACGUAGGGGGCCAGCGUUGUUCGGAAUUACUGGGUGUAAAGGGUUCGUAGGCGGUGCGGCAAGUUGGGAGUGAAAUCUCUGGGCUCAACCCAGAGGCUGCUUCCAAAACUGCUGUGCUGGAGUGUGGGAGAGGCGCGUGGAAUUGCAGGUGUAGCGGUGAAAUGCGUAGAUAUCUGCAGGAACACCCGUGGCGAAAGCGGCGCGCUGGACCACAACUGACGCUGAGGAACGAAAAGCUAGGGGGAGCAAAACAGGAUUAGAUACCCUGGUAGUCCUAGCCCUAAACGAUCAGGACUUG
rnacentral:rRNA from 1 species